rnacentral:rRNA from 1 species
GAUGAACGCUGGCGGCGUGCCUAAUACAUGCAAGUCGAGCGAACAGACGAGGAGCUUGCUCCUUUGACGUUAGCGGCGGACGGGUGAGUAACACGUGGAUAACCUACCUAUAAGACUGGGAUAACUUCGGGAAACCGGAGCUAAUACCGGAUAAUAUAUUGAACCGCAUGGUUCAAUAGUGAAAGAUGGUUUUGCUGUCACUUAUAGAUGGAUCCGCGCCGUAUUAGCUAGUUGGUAAGGUAACGGCUUACCAAGGCAACGAUGCGUAGCCGACCUGAGAGGGUGAUCGGCCACACUGGAACUGAGACACGGUCCAGACUCCUACGGGAGGCAGCAGUAGGGAAUCUUCCGCAAUGGGCGAAAGCCUGACGGAGCAACGCCGCGUGAGUGAUGAAGGUCUUCGGAUCGUAAAACUCUGUUAUUAGGGAAGAACAAAUGUGUAAGUAACUGUGCACGUCUUGACGGUACCUAAUCAGAAAGCCACGGCUAACUACGUG